ACAUUUGUCAAAGAUGUAUAUUCUGAGGUCUAGUGAGUUCAGACACCUCGGGGAAGCCUCUAGCACAUACAUUUAUACGAUUUCUUUCCAAUAUAAACUCUCAAGUAGUGACUGAACUCUGGUGAAGCUUCUGCCACCCUCAUUUCAUUUGUAAAGCAUAUCUGCACUUUGAGUUAUAGAUCCACAAGUUUUGACCUUUAAGUAGUAUUCUUGCCACAUAUACUACACUUCUGUGAUUUCUCUCCAGGAUGUAUAUUCUUAUGCCUAGUGAACACUUGCUUAAAACUUAGCUAUAUUCUGGCCGGGCGCAGUGGCUCACGCCUGUAAUCCCAGCACUUUGGGAGGUGCCAUUCACUUUCGUGCGUGCGUGUGCGUGAUGGAGUCUCACUCUGUCACCCAGGCUAGAGUGCAGUGGCGCGAUCUCGGCUCACUGCAACCUCCGCCUCCAGGGUUCAAGCAAUUCUCCUGACUCAGCCUCUCGAGUAGCUGGUACUACCAGUACCCGCCACGAAGCCCAGCUAAUUUUUGUAUUUUUGGCAGAAACAGGGUUUCACCAUGUUGGCCAGGCUGCUCUUGAACUCCUGACCUCAAGUGAUCCGCCCACCUCAGCCUCCCAAAGUGCUGGGAUUACAGGCAUGAGCCAGACCUCAUGAGAACUAUCACAAGGACAGCAACAAGGGGAUGGUACUAAAACUUUCUUGAGAAAGCCACCCCCAUCAUCCAAUCACCUCCCACUAGGCUCCACCUCCAAUACUGGAGAUUACUACAAUUCCACAUGAGACUUCAAAGGGAAAGGACAAAUAUACAAGCUAUAUGAGUAAGUAUAAAUUAUUUGGGGAUCCCAGAGGUUAGGACAACAUCUAACGGCCUUUCCACAUUGAGUUUAGUUGUAAGGUUCUCUCCAGCAUGUUUUAUCUGAUGUUUAGUGAGGCCUGAGCGACUAAUGUAAGAUUUGCCACACUCAUUACAUUUAUAAGGUUUUUCACUAGAAUGAAUUCGUUGGUGUUUAGUGAGGCAAGACCGCCGCCCAAACGCCUUGCCACAUUCCAUACAUUUGUAUGGCUUCUCUCCAGUAUGGUUUCUCUGAUGGUAAACCAAGUUUGACCUUUCGAUAAAAGCUUUACCACAUUCAUUACAUUUAUAAGGUUUCUCUCCAGUAUGCAUCAUCUGAUGAUUAAGCAGAAUUGAACGUACUCUAAAGGCUUUGCCACACUCAUUACAUUUGUAAGGUUUCUCUCCAGUAUGAAUACUCCAAUGACGUGCGAGGCCUGAGCGAUAACGGAAGACCUUGCCACAUUCAUUACAUUUGUAAGGUGUCUCUCCAGUAUGAAUUAUCUGGUGCCUUACAAGUUGUGAAUUCUGAUAAAAGACCUUGCCACAUACAUCACAUGUAUAUGGUUUCUUUCCUGCAUGGAUUAUAUGAUGUGCAGUGAGGCUUGAGUUCCGUUUAAAGGUUUUGCCACAUUCAUUACAUUUGUAGGGUUUGUCUCCAGUAUGAACUGUCUGAUGAGUUGCAAGAGAGGAACUUUGACUAAAGCACUUCCCACAUCGAUUACAUUUGUAAGGUUUCUCUCCAGUAUGAAUUCUCUGAUGAACUGCAAGGUGGGAACUUUUACUAAAGGACUUGCCACAUUCAUUACAUAUGUAGGGUUUGUCUCCAGUGUGACUUCUCCGGUGAUUUACAAGAUCUGAAUUUUGUCUGAAGAUCCUGCCACAUACAUCACAUUGGUAUGGUUUCCCUCUUGUAUGGACUAUCUGAUGUACUGUUAGUAGUGAGCCCCGAUGAAAGGCUUUACCAGACUCAUUGCAUCUGUAAGGUUUCUCUGUAGUAUGUAUCAUCUGAUGAUUAAUAAGACUUGAAGACACUCUGAAGGCUUUGCCACACUCAUUACCUAUGUAAGGUUUUUCCCUAAUAUGUGUUUUCUCGUCUUGUGUAGGUAACGAAAGUUGCAAAAAAUCAUUCCCAUAUUUCCUAGAAAUGUUGGUUUGGACACCAGGAAAAAUUCUUUGAAGUGGUGAAGCUAAAAAACAAUUAUUAACUGUCCUCUCAAUUUGAUUACAUCCAUAAAUUUUCUCUGCAGUUUGAAAUUUCUGCAAUUCACCCAGACCGGACUGAAACCUUAAUAUAAGCUGAUUUUCCAUAUGCUUGUUUUCUACGUCCCCUUGACUAUGUCGAACUCUUUGACCAGUAAGAUUGUUUUUAUGGGUCAUCGGCCCUUCUUUAUAAUUUAUUUCACCAUCUUUCCAUUGAAAGUCAACUUCCUGUAGAUUUUUCCGGAUUUCCCUGAAGUAAAAAUUUUCAGUGUCAUAGCUUUCAUGUCCUUCCAACAUCACUGCUUGGAAUUUUUCUCCUGUGUUACUGUUCU
rnacentral:lncRNA from 1 species